GUGGUUGAGGAGGGUUCAAAAGGAGACAACUUCUUCUUCUUCAUUCACUUCUGGAGCCGGGCGACGGCACCUGCUAAGCUGGCCGAAGACUAUCGCUUCAAAGAGAAAAAAAGAAAAAGUCGAGGUGCAGAAGAGGAGACUACAGAUAACAGAAGAAGUCCAGCAGAUAUACAGUGCAGUCAUCCAUAAAGUAGAAAGCACUACUAAACUCCUCGCCACAGUGUAGUGUUUCCUACUUUAUGGAUGAGUGUACUGUUGGCUUCAGGGAAAACGGCGGCCUCUCCCCGGAAGUCCAGAAAGAGGAAGCGGCUUUUGUCUCGCGAGGCUACGCGUUACCCAGAGUGUUGUUGCUGCUCUCUCACAUGGGUGCUGUGUAGCUCGCAGCAAAGCUUGCAAACUUUUUCCUCUAUUUUAGCACGAUUGCAACUACGGGCUGGAAAAAGACAAUCGCGUGUACACGAAAUCAAAUGUCAUCGGGAUGAAAUAAAGAAUCAAGAAAC